GCCUUGAUAGUUCAGUGGUAGAGCACUUCCAUGGUAAGGAAGAGGUCCCGGGUUCAAGUCCCGGUCAGGGCU
rnacentral:tRNA from 1 species